CCUCAAAAUUCAAAAAAAAAAUCAGCUUAAAAAAACCACGCUGGAACGCGACAAGGGGCCAAGGCACGGAAUUUCAUUCUCUCUUACACUCCUCUCUCCUAUCUCUCUCUCUCUAUCACGCUCCUCUAAUUCUCUCUCCUCUCUCUCAAUUCUCAAACACGGAAUCAAGACUGAACCACACUAACAUAGAACCCCAGAAAUCGAGAAACGAAAGUACGAAACGAGUAACGAAGAAGAUACUCGACGAAGAUACCAGAGUGGCUGUCGGCAGACGGUAGUCACGCGGUGUCGGCGGUGACAGAGUUGAGGACUUCGCGUCUUCGUCGCCUUUAAUUCGAAGUUCGACACUCGCAGUAAUUCACUAAGUUAUGAAGUGAUCACUUGCAAGGAGAGGAGAAAAUUGAGGAUCCUUUCUUGUAAAAGAUGAGACUCGAUUCCAGGAUCUUUAAACACAGAGGUGAUGCUAAUACCACUAUACUAUCACCUGCUAUUCAUAACUUGUAGUUGUCAUGUGAUCACAGAUUUUACGUGGCACAAAAAUAUCUUGUAUAUAUAUAUUCAUUGUAGGGCUUAUACAUAUCUUGAUCGGAUACCUUUUAAGCUAAAGAAUUGAAAAACAUUAUUUAAAAAUAAUUCAAAUCCUCCCAAAAAAUUUAUUGAUUUCCAUUAUACUCCCUCCGUUUCCUAAAGAUCUUCCCUCUUUUCGUUUAAGGGUGUUUCCAAAAGAUCUUCCCUCUUUUGCUUUAUUCCUUAUUUGGCAAAACAAAUUUCCCUAUUUACCCUCUCAUGUCACUAUCAUAUGGUCCACCAUUACAUUAUUAAUUCAAUUUUACUCCCUUUCUCUCUCCUACUUUAACCCCUUUUUAUUUGUUUAUUUAUAUUAACCCCUUUCUCUCUCCUACUUUACUCACACCAUGCCCCACACAACUUGAUUUUCCUUGGUAUCUGUAGGAACAGUAAGUGAGAAGAUCUUUAGGAAACGGAGGGAGUAUAAGCUAAGGAAAAGAGACAUGGUUUUCUCCCUUUAAAAUGACUAGAAUACCCUCUAAUAUUUUAAAACAUCGUUUUCUUUUUAUAAAUAUUUAAAUGAAAAUCAAUGCAACUUGCCAUAUGAGUAAGUCAAAAAUGAAUUAUGCAAUCACAAUUAAUAUCUUGACACAAUCAAUUCACGAAAUUAAUUAUAAUCUUCAAUCAAAAAAAGUUAGCAAUAUAUCGUGACAACAUAAUACUUCAUAUUUACAAAAUUCUUACAAUAUGAUUUAUUGACAUUUAUAAUCGUUAAAGAAUUAUACUAAAGUCGUUGACAAGGAAUUAUUAAAUCAUCGACUAAAUUUUUUAGUGACGGUGUUGAACAGUUAAAAUCGAUCACCUUCAAUCAAGGGAGUGGAUGAGUGUGCAAGGAGCCCAACAGCACAGGGCUCCAAAGAUAUAAGGGCCCUAAGAUGUAUUAUUCUAAAAAAUGUACUCCUUAUUUGAGGAAAUCACGCUAGUUUCCCACCCUUAAUAAAUUUUUUAGUGAUUAAUCUUUGAAUAAUCAACUUUCUAUCAUCUUAUUAUUUUAUAAGUUAGGGGCCUAAUCUUCAUGCUAGAACAUGAGACCCAAGAUUUUCAAGAUGACCUUGCCUUCAAUUUAAAAAGAUAAUAACAUCUACCUUUACAAUUUACAUCAUUAGCAAAAUAAUUUUAAAUAAAAAAACAUGUUAAUUCGUAUAUAUAGCUACAUAAGGUUUUUGACGUGCAUCUCCCGAUGCAUAUGCGACUAGUUUUAUACUACCUCUGAUUUUAUUUAGUUGCAACAAUUUCUACUUUUAGGUGUUUUUUAUUAGUUGCAACAUUUUCCUUUUUAGGAAAACUUUUGGGAUAAUUUGACUAUAUUACCUUUACUUUACCUACUCUCUUUCUCCCCAUUUAAUUACAGUACUAGUAGCAAGGGCAAGUGGGUCAAUUAUACUCUCUUUUCUCAUUUCUUAAAGUUUGUGCAAAAAGGUGAAUGUUGCAACUAAAUAAAAACAGAGGUAAUAUAAGUGUUGCACGAUUGACGUGGUGCAACCGUAACUACUGCUACGUAUGAGAUAAUUUAUGCUAGGACCAUAGGAAGAUCUUACCUAAAUCUUAAUGGGUAAGGUUGAAAAUCUAACACUAGUAGUAAGAAAUUAAAUUAUAAUUUUUGAAAUUUGCCCUUUUCUUAACCUCUUCCUCGCAACAAUCUCCCGAUAAAAUCUUCUCUUCUCGUCGUGCUAAUUUUUUUGUUAGUGCUACAAUUUAUUAAAGAUAGUAUAUAUUCCUUACGAUUUUCAAGUUUUUUUUAUUAGAACUUCUAGUUAAUUACUUGUUAUUUAUAUACAGAGGUUUUAUCCCUUAAACAAAAAUAUAGAAAGGUUUUACAUGCGACUUUAAGAAUCUAAAAAAAUAAAGAGAAAAAAGUGGCUGAAUGAAUAUGGGUGUACCUUGAUUAUAAUAGUAAAGGGCGUAUGUAUGUAUUAAGUAAACCAAAACAUUCAUCCAUAGGGUGUAUGUAGUAAGUAAACCAAAACAUUCAUCCAUAGAAUUUAUAAAUAACUUCCUAUAUAUUUUACUAAUUGUUCCAUUAUGACUUGGUAUAUUUUAAAAAAGUUUGACCCUUAAUAUAUAUCUUUGAUUAUGUAGCUGUAAAUAUGAUAAAUUACUAAAUUCCAAUGAAAUUACAAUCGAGACAAAUGAUGAGAUUCAAACAUGAGUAUGUUUUUCAUUAUGUAUAAAUAUCAAAACAUAGUCAAAAUAAAAUGCAUAAAUAUUGUCAAAAGUCAAGAUUUAAAACUUAAAAAAGGAAGUAGGUACCAAGGGAUUAACUUUUUUUUAUUGGUAAGUAUAAGUGUCAUACCGAAUUGGAUCCUGGCACAAGUUUUAAUCAGGCUCAGAUAUACAGGCAAGGUCCUUUCAAAGUGAUGGGAAUGUAAGGGAAUCUCACUCCCAAAGAUCUGAUCCCAAAAUUAUGAGAUGCAAAUCUUAUCAGUAGUACUACUAAAGCCCUAUUUGGCACUAGCAUUUUAGGUAAUAGGUAGCGGUUGUACAAGGUCAAAACGCUAUUUAAGAAAAUUAUGGGUGUUUGGUAAGGUAGUGGUUAUAGUAACGGGCCGAGUAUAUUAUAGGUAGCGAUUGUAGAAUGUUACUCCAAGUAACGUUUGAGAUUUAUAGAUUACACUAUGUGCAAUAAACACUAUGUAAUAUAGGAUAGAAUUGUUGACUAAUGUCUUAAAUUUCUUUAUCUCUUUUUGUUUAUUAAUUGUUUUAUUUAUGACAAUUUAUUGUUUUUCAUUUACAAUAGAGGGAUGUGAUUUACAUUAGCAUCAUUUCACAAUAUUUUAUAUACUCCAAAUUCCACAAACAUGUUAGUUAAAUAGAUAUAUAAAUUUAGGAUGGAAUAUUAUCUCAAAUUUAUAGAUUUCUUGUCAAGUAAAAUAUAUAUUAAGAAUCAACUAAAUCUCCUCAAACUUAAUUUCUCUGGUAAUUCCUUUUUCCUCUUUUGUUUUCAAUUUUAUUUCAUUUUAUUGGUUUAUUGAAUACAUUAUUUUCUCUUUAUGAGUUUAUUGAGCCCUUGAUAUGUACUUCCUUUAUAAAGUUUUUUUUUUUUUUGGUAAAAACUUUUUUAAGUUUUAAAAUUUGACUUUUGAAAAUAUUUAUCCAUUUCAUUAUGACUAUGAUCUUUUGAUAAUUGUACUUAAAGACAAAAAAAAAACUAAACUAGACUCAGAAUCCCCAUAUGAGAGAAGGACAUCUCCAUAAUAGAGACUAAGACUUUUUUUAUUUGAUUCGUAAGGAUAGAUACCCUAUCGAAUUAGACCCUUCACAAGUUUAAUCAGGCCCUGCUAUACAGGCAAGACCUUUUAAAGGUGAGGGGAACUUAAGGAAAUCUCAACCCUAAAGAUUACUUUGAUCCAAAAAUUAUGAGAUACAAACCUUACCAUUAGUAAUACUUUGAGUUAUACUCUCUCCGUUUCAAACUAUAAUUCCCAUUUCAUGUUUAUGGUCAAACAUUAGAACCUUUGACAAAAUUUUCUCAUUGAUAUAUAUUCCUUCCAUCCCAUAAUAUAGUGCUCGCAUUUCUUUAUGGGUACGGUGUCCCAAAUUGUUGUGCCUAUUUUCUUUUUUAUCAAUUUAUUUGGACUAAAUUAUCCUUCAUUUCUACAUAAAACUUUCCAAAAUACCCAUAUCUUUCUUUCAAAAUAUGAGCCCCUAUUUAUUGUUUUACACCAUUUUAUUGCUCUUUCAAUUUUUUUUAAAGGAAAAAAACUAGUUCCAACACAAAAGUACCCAAAAAACAUUUACUUAUAAAUAUAUGUUUUUGAGAAAUCCUAAAACUCCUCCCAUUUUCCUUAAUUCUUGUGAAAAAUGAGAAGUGAACACUAUAUUAUUGGACGGAUUCACGGAGGGAGUACUAUAAAAUAUAUUCGUGUAGAAUCAUGUCAAAUUCGCUUCAAUGUAUAGUCCUAUAAUAUUUUCUUAUAGUUUUUAUCAAUACAUAACUAAAGAUAUUGAUGGUCAAAGACACAUAAUGCACACUGUGCAAAAAAAAAGGAACUAUAUUUUGGGGUAAAAGAGAAUACAAGGAAGUAAUUCUGAAGAUUGAUACAUCUAUAUAUUGAGUAGACCACCCAUUAGAAAUAAACAAUACCAAAUAGUACUUGGUCUAGUGGUAAGGAGAACACCCUUCCAACAUCAAGGUUGGAGGUUCAAUCCCCACUAGAGACACUUUGAGGGUAGGGAUUCUCUUUACCCUUCCCCCUUACUCUCAAGUGUCUGACCACUUUUUCUUACUAAUUAUUAAUGUAUAUCUCUAAUGAAUAAAUUAUUCGCUAAAUAAUUUUUUUUUUUAAAAGUACAGAAAGGUUUAUGAUUAUGAGUGAUAGGGAAAUUUCCUCAUGUGGCAAACUGGCAAUGUCAGACAUUUCCGAGGCAAACUACUAUUAGAAAGAUUUUUCUUUUGGCAGUAAUCUUUUUGGAGAUUUGUGGUAUGGAUGUGGCGGAAAAGGCCAAGAUGUAGUAGGAUGCACUUCAUGUCGUCCUCAUAACUUUUUAUUGGACAAGGUUGUUAUAUACUUCAGACUCCAUAGACUCCAGUCCAUAUACUUGUGUUUCUUUUUCUUUUUUUUUCUUCGCAAUCCAUACACUUCCACUUGGUAUCAUAUUUUGUACGGAAACCCGCAGCUUUUAUUCAGUGCUAAUAUAUUCUGUUGUUCCCGUCCUACUAUAUAA